GGGCUACUGUUCUUGGCUGGUAUCAGGCUGUCUUUCUCGCUACAGCAGACCAGAAAUUGAAAUAUUCUCUCGGGUCCCCGUUCCAUCUCCACCCCCACCUCCCACCACUGACCCCCUUGCCCAAAUUGCUUUCACAGUUCAAAGCUCAACCCCUGCCACUCCAAGAUCCGAAGUCCUCAGAGCAGCGGGAGCUCCACAUCCUUUCCUGCACUCACCUCCAAGGUUUUCACCAGGAUCUUCAUGUAGAUCUCCGAGAUACCCAGGGAUAAUCCGAAGGCCGAGGGUAAAAGGAUGAGGCCGCCCACCAGCGUCAGCCAGGUGGACAGGAGCUUCACUGCCAGGUCUGCGCCCUCCAUGUCUCGGCACGCCCUCAGGAAGAGGUCCCCAGGAAAGCCGAGAGCCGUAGGUGUCAGAGUCCCAGGCAGUCCAGCCGCAGUUCGGAAAACACAGCGUCCAGCCCGGAGCCGGGCUCUGAGGAGUCUUUGCCGCCCGCCUCGUUCCCUUCAGCUCUGCGGAGCGAAGAGGAAAGGGAAGGCGAGAACUCUCAAAACUACUGCGAUCUCCUUGCUUCCUCCCCUUGGGUCCCGGUUGUCCCCGCAAGCUCACUCUCUACUGGAGGCCCAGGCCAAGCUGUGGCCACGGCAGCCGGCUCAGACCUGAGUGUCUCUGGCGAGAAGACCCAGCUGGGUGACCUACGGGACACCCUAGUGGAGUCAGAGUGCAUGGAGGCAGCCAGGAACGCGCCCCACCCCGGGCCUGAUUUCCUCCGGGUAACGAUUGCGACAACCCCGCGGUGACUCACCGAGGCCCUCCGGCAGCGAGGAUCCCCGCAGGUUCCCUGCACCUCGGCGUGGGCUGCGGGCUAUGCGGGUAGCCAGUGGCUUUCGGGCGCCGGGCUCCCUUUUUCUACACUCUACCCUUGCCCCACCCCCAUCGCCACCCAACAGGGAGCUCCCGGGCAUGACAGCGUCUCCCGGGCGCUGCUGCCUAGAGAGCCGCCGCCCUCCGCCCCGCCCCCCCGCACUCCCAGCAAAGGUUCUUUCCGUAGCAGACUUUCCAUCUUCACCCACAGAACGGACCGCUGACGUCCCCGAUCGCUGCGGAAGAUCUUGUUUGUGAGCCUGCAACACGACCUCCUGGGAAGGGCUUUCGGGAGGAGGAAACUACUGAACAAGGGUGAGGCAGUCGCGCACCGUGGCUCGUGGCUCUCUCAUACCUCCUUCCUAGCUGCAGUCAGGGAAAGAAAGCUCACCCGCUUUCUCUCUCUCCACAAGUCGCCUUAGCCACUCUGCCACCACCUCUCUAGCCACAAAAUAGACCCAGAAAUUCCAAGCGGUUGUGUCGCAGAAGACUGGAAUUCCAGCACUUACGCUCGGGAAUCUGCGACUGGAGAAUUCCAAGGAGAUGGGUCUGGGCUGUUUUGAGUUCCAACAGUCAGCUUAAGGCUAAAUAGGUAGAUCCUUUAUAGACCUUGCUUUAAAAGGGCAGGCGGACCGGUGAGCGGGCGAGGGGGAGGGGAGGACAGGACACCCUAGAGGCUGUUUGUCACUCCCCUCCCUGGAGGAGAUUCCAGUCUAAGCUUCCCUAGCAUCCGCCUACACCGACUGCAGAAAACGCUGCGCAAAUACUAACCUUCACCUAACUGGCGAAGAGUUUCUCAGGGGUCCACGUCCCACGCCGCUGUGAUGAACGGCCUUACUAGAACGAAGAAGGGAAAAUCCUGCACGCGUAUUCCACUGCAGGACAACCAGUUUUAACAAUAAGCGUGAGAAAAGAUAUUGAGAGCAGCAGUUUGCAAAGCGACUGACUAGGAUCCAAACCAUCACCGAGUCGGCCCUCAAUUCUUAGAAGGACCAAACUCUUACUGUUGACAGUCGGGAGUCAGUUUGGGAGCUGGAAAAAGUGAGAGAGCUAGCAAAAUGAACUGAAAGUAUUUACAGCAAAUAUUGCAGAGAAAGCUGCCCUCACCUCCAGAAGGGGUGGAGGAAGAAGGAAGCCGGCCUUAAAGACUGUACAAGUUUGUUCUCUGAGCCUCCUGCCAGCCACCCCCCCCCCUCCAGGUUCCUGACUCCUGUUCAUACAGGGACUCUUCUGAAGAUCAUUUACCAGAAUGCAAAGCUCCUCUCUGUGGCCAUAUACACGCCUAUCUCUCAUGCCACAUGUCAAGGAGCCAACGCAGAUCAUAACAGUUGCUGAAUAUGACUACAGCACUUGAGCAUUCUAGAAUUGGAAAACAAACAAACAAACAAACAAACAAACCAACCACUGUGUGUUUAAGGGCUAAUUGGAUCCAUUGCAAAUGACCUGAGCUUAAACUCCAUUGUCUCCAUAAGUUCCCAACUUCACUGCUGGACAGAGUGACAUUUGGAGUAUCCAGGUAUUGGCACUGAGCCAGAAACAGUAUCAGCAUUCCCUGGAAGUCUGACUAUUUACAUUGCAUUCGAUGCAUGGUCACUUCAUGGAUCCCUUUGGGGAAGAUGGAGAAACACAUUAGUAAGCACGGAUCUUGUCAGGGUUCUAGCAGCCUGGCUUUCCAGAGGUUCUAGGUCUGCACACUGGCGCAAGUUCAAGAAUCGAGUGAAGGAUCAUGACUGUUGUGAUUCAAGCUGGACUUCAGUGCUCUGUUUAAAUCACAUGGACAUACAGUAAAGCACUGGUCUGUUUCAUUAUAAACCACAAUUCAGUGCUAAGCCAGCUACUCUGAUACAGUUACCACAUCUUACACAGCACAUCUUUAGGGAUUAAUAUACCCUCUUAGCUUUUGCCUCCUGGAAUUCCAUUGUUCCCAUUGCAUUCGUGGGUCUUGUUUCAAUGGCAACAGCUCUCACUGUAAAUGCUGAUCUACAGAGAAGAGGACACAAAGAGAUAUUAAGAGAUCCUAGGGCCACCAGAGACCAGUUUGGUGUCAAUAGUCUGUGCUUAGGGACAUGUUGAUGUUCAUGGUCUGUGUUGCCACCAGAAAGCAUGUGGAAGUCCAUGAUCUGUGCAGGCCCUGGCUGUUAUGUGGCAGUGGUAUGGAUGACUGCAGACAAUGAGAGAUGCUAAAGGCUUUUAUGACAAUCCCCACCCC
ensembl:antisense